CCGACAUUCUCUUAUUUUCGGCUUUUAUAUUUUUCAAUUACAUAUUCAUAUUCCCGCCCAUAGCACCCUCUUGCUCUCCUCCUCGUUUUUUUGACCCAUCACUAAAGCGGAACCCUCACUCACUCCAAUCAUAACCCAAGACAAAUCUCCAAAAAUACUCGCAUCCAAACCCCCCUUAAAAAUUCAUCCACUCUUUCUCCGAUCUCUGAUAAAAGCAGUGUCAUUUUAUCGAAAUCGGAACCCUAGAAAUCCAGUUCAGUCGCCAUGAAUCAUUUCCAUAUCUAUGAAGCUAUUGGCCGUGGCAAAUACUCGAGUGUGUAUAAAGGUAGAAAGAAGAAGACGAUUGAGUAUUUCGCUGUUAAGAGUGUCGACAAGUCGCAGAAGAGGAAAGUUCUUCACGAAGUUAGGAUGCUUCACUCCUUGGAUCAUUCAAAUGUUUUAAAAUUUUACUCUUGGUACGAAACACCAUCUCACUUGUGGUUGGUUUUGGAAUAUUGUGUUGGUGGAGAUCUCAUGACCUUAUUGCGACAGGACAGUCAGCUGCCUGAAGACUCAAUUCAUGAUCUUGCCCGUGACUUAGUUAGAGCUUUGCAGUUCUUACACUCAAAAGGAAUCAUUUACUGUGAUUUAAAACCAUCAAAUAUCCUCUUAGAUGAGAAUGGACACACAAAGCUAUGUGAUUUUGGAUUGGCAAGAAAAUUGAGCGAUAUAACAAAAACUCCUUCGUCCAUGUUGCCACAAGCAAAACGCGGAACACCUUGUUAUAUGGCUCCUGAACUAUUUGAGGAUGGGGGUGUCCAUUCGUAUGCAUCUGACUUUUGGGCUUUAGGCUGUGUACUGUAUGAGUGCUAUGCAGGGAGGCCUCCUUUUGUGGGAAGAGAAUUCACACAGCUAGUGAAAUCCAUACUCUCAGAUCCGCCACCACCCCUCCCCGGCACUCCAAGCCGUCCCUUUGCCAACUUAAUCAGUUCUCUUCUGGUAAAAGAUCCAGCUGAAAGAAUCCAGUGGAGGGAGCUUUGUGGACAUGCCUUCUGGAUGUCUAAAAUUUCUCCAGUGCCAUUACCUCCUCAAACGGCUUUUGAUAAUAUGAUUGAGCUUUGUGCUAAGCCUUGCCUCUCAGAACGUAAUGGUGAUAGAUCUUUAGCAAAUAGAACCCCUCCUAAACAUCGUGAAAAAGAUGCAAAAGGGACCCCAAAACUGGAUGAGAAUUCUAUGUUAGGAUCAAGAGGUCAUGAGACACCAGUUAAAGGUACGCCAAGUGGCAGGAAAACUCAAACAAAGGCCUCUGGCAGGGUGGUUGAGGAGAAGCAGAAAGAUCCUUCCAAUGCUGCUAGGCGUGUUAAUCUCUUAAGGUUGUCAAGGAUAGCAAAAUCAAAUUUACAGAGGGAGAAUGAGAAGGAAAACUACAGGAGGCCGUUGCCCAAUGGCUCCGAGAAUGAUUCUGAAGUCAAAAUUGAGAACACUGAUAUGGAGCUUGAUUUUAACGAGAACGCUGAAGACGAGACACAUGAUGAACCUGAUGGGUUAGAUAACCCAAACAGUACAGCAGAAGAGGUGGUCAAUAACAUUCCCCAAUCAGAAACCUCUCCUGUGGUAAACGCACCUGCCUCAGAUGAAUCAAGAACAAAUGAUCAGGAUUCAUCUUCAGAGCAUGUUGAUAUGGUUUCUACUCCACUCAGUGCUAGUCCUCAGCUCAGGAAUCAGAGAAAUAAAGAAGGUUUAGUGUCAGCCAUUGAGUUUGAUUCUUCAAAAUCAUCCCAUGACCUUUCACAGGUCCUUUGGCAUCCAUCUGAUCUAUCUGUCAGACCUGUAAUGCCCAGUAGAAAAGCUGAUAAAGUGUCAGAUGUUAUUCCCUCUCUUCCAUUCGAGGCCUUGCAACCAUCUGAUUUUGUAAGGAUGUCUAGGGAGGAGCUCGAUGCACUCACCAAUAAGAUCAUAUCCAUUUUAAAUGGAAACACUAGCAUCGGGGAGAAGUUGAAUGUAAUUAGAUACCUUGAGAUGUUGAGUAGCAAUGCUGACACAGCCAAUAUCCUGACAAAUGGGCCAAUAAUGCUCAUGCUCGUUAAAAUGCUUCGACUGUCCAAGACCCCAGCUUUGCGUGUUCAACUUGCUUCAUUGAUUGGCUUGUUAAUUCGUCAUUCAACUUUUAUUGAAGACGAUUUGGCAAAUUCUGGAAUUCUGGGCUCACUAACAGAUGGCCUUAGAGACAAGCAGGAAAAAGUUAGGAGAUUUUCCAUGGCUGCUUUAGGUGAGUUGCUGUUUUACAUAUCCACCCAGAAUGAUCAGAGCAAAGAUAACAAUCCGCCAGAAUCUCCAUCAAAGGACAGCAGAUCCACAUUUGGCUGGCAGGUUCCCAACUCAUUGAUUUCAUUGGUGUCAUCCGUUUUACGUAAAGGAGAGGAUGAUAUAGCUCAACUUUAUGCAUUGAGGACAAUUGAAAACAUUUGCAGUCAAGGGGGACACUGGCCAGCUCGCUUCACUAGCCAGGAUGUGAUUAGUAACCUCUGUUAUAUAUAUAGAGCUGUAGGGAAACAGGAGAGCAUCAGGCUUACUGCAGGUUCAUGUUUAGUUCGCCUGACAAGAUUUAACCCUCCUAGCAUUCAAUCAGUCAUGGAGAAACUGUCUUUCAAGGAUACAGCAACUACCCUUGUCAAGGGCAGCCCACGUGAGCAGCAAAUAAGUUUGAACCUCUUAAAUAUGGCUAUGCUUGGAAUUCAUUUGUUCACAAAUAUUGGACGGCACCUUUCAAACUUGGCGGAGGAUAAGAAUUUGGUCCCAAGUCUCGUGUCUCUUACUGAGCAGGGUAGUGACAUUUUGAGGGGAAAGACACUUCUUUUCAUUGCUCAUCUUUGUAAAAAUGCUAGGAGAUGUCUACCACACUUUUUUUGCAAUCCGAGGUUACUAUCUGCCUUGGAUAGGGUAGCAAAAGAGAAGGACAUCUAUCUCCAACAAAGUCUAGAUGCAUUUGUGCAUGCUGUGGCAUCUAUAAUACCAAGUUUACUUGAUAUUAUAACAGGAGAUAUUCAGCAAAUGAUGGGAGGAAGGCGCCAUGGUCACAGCUCUGCCAUUGCACAUCGAAUUGCUCCAAAGACCAAUGUUCAUUUGUUUCCAGUUGUUCUUCAUCUUCUUGGAAGCUCUUCUUUUAAGUUGAGGGUGGUGAGCCAUCAAGUUAUGCAGCAGCUGGCAAAUUUAGUCAAAGUCAUGGAGACACCAUUUCAGGGCAGAGAUGACUUCCAAAUAACCCUUCUUCGAGUUCUUGAAUCUGUUGCAGAGGAGCGCCUUGUCAUUCAUGAAAGCCCCAACAUUUUCAUUUGUGAAAUCCUUCCUGGUCUAGCUGUUCUGUACAAGGGCAACAAGGAUGGUGAUGCCAGAUUUUUGUGCCUUAAAAUUCUGUUUGAUGUGAUGAUCAUUUUCUUGAAUGAACCUUUGGAAGAUGACCAAAGAUCAGAGGCUUUAAAGUCCAUAUCCAUUAUUCAUUUCCUACCUCUCUACCCUACCUUUAUUGAAGAUGAAGAUCCCAUUCCCAUGUAUGCGCAGAAGCUCCUUGUGAUGCUCAUUGAGUUUAAUUACAUAAAAAUAUCAGACAUUCUACAUCUGAAGACAGUCUCACAGUGCUUUGAGUUUUUGCUUGGUGACCUAUCAAGUGCAAAUGUCAAUAAUGUUCAGCUGUGUCUGGCUUUGGCCUCAGCUCCUGAAAUGGAAUCCAAGUUGCUUUCUCAAUUAAAAGUGGUUAGGAGGAUUGGAAACCUUUUAGAGUUUGCGUAUGCCAAGGACAUGGAAGAUUUUCUUGAGCCAACUCUUGGCCUGUGUAGGGCAUUCCUUCUAUGCUCGGUUGGCAGUAAAAGAGGACUUGCCUACAAAAAAGAACCAGCACUUCUGAAUGAUUCUUCUGAGGCAAGCACUGCAGUUGAUCAACAGCAAUGCAUAAGAGAUGUAAUGGACUUUGGUAGCAAUGUAGGUGUUUUGCUGGAGUUGAGUAGGUCCUGUGAGGCAAAUAUUGGAGAUAUAGCUUCUGAAUGUGUGUUGUUGUUGCUGAAGGCAGCUCCAAGGGAAGCCACAACUGGUUUUCUAACUAAUCUACUGAAGGUUAGUACAAUCCUCGAGUCUUCGCGCAAGGGUGUUCCUCACUUAGUUUUGCAGCGGAUACUACAUGCUCUUGCUUAUUCUUGUCAGCAAUAUUUGUCACAUGCGAUGAUACUAUCCAUAUCCAUAAACGAGAUUUCAAGGAUUGAAGUCAUUCUUUUGGAGCUGAAAAAUUCAAGCCCCCCUGAUUUAGCCAGUGCAGCUUUGCUUGCGGCCUCAGAGUUGCAGCGCCUGCCUCGUUGCAUUUGAAGUCCUUGAGGUAUAAUGCAUGUUAGUUGGCUUGUAAAAGGACGAGAAAGUCAGGUUUCCUGAAUUCUAUAUAAAGGGUCAUGGUCCUGCCCCCUCAGUCUUGAGAAUCGGCUUAAAAGCAACUAGAUCAUUUUUGCGCAACCUUGUCCUUUUCUUUAAGACUGCACAUACUUGGGCAUCGUGUGAAGAAAUUAGAUUAUUCUAAUGACUUGGAAAUUGAACACGGUCGCUUACAUUGGUUCACCAAUCACCGGUGAAAGCCCUUUUUGCUUUAUCACUGUAUUUUAAUCUCAAGCUUCAACUUUCCUUUAAUUAUUCUGGGGCCUGGAUGGAGAUGGACAUCCUAAAUUUGUGAACUUGCUUGGAAUUUGAAAGCUUGUACUUUUCAAUUGACAAUGAGUUAUUAUUUAAGUGAAUAGACAGGGACCAAUCAAGCUGAGCCAUUAAAACCA